UACAGAGGGUGCGAGCGUUAGUCGGAAUUAUUGGGCGUAAAGGGCGCGUAGGCGGUUGAUUAAGUGAGAUGUGAAAUCCCUGGGCUUAACCUGGGAAUGGCAUUUCAAACUAGUUGGCUAGAGUAUAGUAGAGGUGAGUGGAAUUUCUGGUGUAGCAGUGAAAUGCGUAGAGAUCAGAAGGAACACCGGUGGCGAAGGCGACUCACUGGACUAAUACUGACGCUGAGGCGCGAAGGCGUGGGGAGCAAACAGG
rnacentral:misc_RNA from 1 species